AUGUACCGCUCAUACACUGCGGUUCCGAGCGCGCCGCCCACACCCGCCUGACGACCGCUCGCUAGGUACUGUUAGCC
rnacentral:sRNA from 1 species